GCGUGGCGGCAGUGUACGUGGCCUACUGGCGGGAAUGUGCGUGACCUCCAGGCCCUUUACCUUUGCCUGUGACCUCCCGGCCCUUUACCUUUGCCUGUAACUUUCCCAGAUUGCUUGAGCCCUGUGCACAAACAUUCGUAGCAACUGUAUUUUUAAUGGCCAGAGAUGAGACACAGUCCAGUGCCCAUCCGCUGGGGAAUGGACGAAUGUAUCGUGGGACACCUGCAUGAGAAAUUCACUCAGCAAAUGAGAAAGAACAGCUGACAGCAAAACGGCACAGGUGAACCUGGAAGCAAGAUGGUUGGCAUCGUCACGCGAAGCUCUGCACUGAGGAUCACUCCUUCCUGGGCUGUGUUUAGCCCGAGCUGAAAUGUUUGCUAUCAUUUAGAUGAGACCCUACCACUUUGUUCUAUGGAUCCCUGGAACAUUGUGAUUAUCAUAAUGGGUG
rnacentral:lncRNA from 1 species